rnacentral:rRNA from 1 species
AGUGAACGCUGGCGGUAGGCCUAACACAUGCAAGUCGAGCGGCAGCACAGUAGGAGCUUGCUCUUACGGGUGGCGAGUGGCGGACGGGUGAGGAAUACAUCGGAAUCUAGCUUUUCGUGGAGGAUAAUGUAGGGAAACUUACGCUAAUACCGCAUACGACCUACGGGUGAAAGCAGGGGACCUUCGGACCUUGCGCGAGUUCAUGAGCCGCUGUCGGAUUAGCUAGUUGGCGGGGUAAAGGCCCACCAAGGCGACGAUCGGUAGCUGGUCUGAGAGGAUGAUCAGCCACACUGGAACUGAGACACGGUCCAGACUACUACGGGAGGCGGCAGUGGGGAAUAUUGGACAAUGGGCGAAAGCCUGAUCCAGCCAUACCGCGUGGGUGAAGAAGGCCUUCGGGUUGUAAAGCCCUUUUGUUAGGAAAGAAAAGCAGAAGGUUAAUAGCGCGCUGUUCUGCCGGUACCCAAAGAAUAAGCACCGGCUAACUUCGUG